rnacentral:tRNA from 1 species
GUGAGUGUAGCACAGUGGGUAAGGAACUGGGCUUGUAACCGAAAGGUCGCAGGUUCGAUUCCCGGUAGGGCACU